UUAUCUUAACUGCUCACUUAAUGAUGAUUCCGGGUAGAGAAGUUGCGAAACUUUGAUGCUUAGACUUCCUUCAGGACCUAAUAUAUGAUAGUUUGGUAAUUUUUCAUGAUAUGUGGCAAACGACGACCCUAUUGGCAUGUUUGAAGUAGCAAUCAUACUAUUCGUUUUGUUUUUCUUGUUUGAAGAACUUCUUUGACCCUAUUGGCUUGGACAAACAUACAUUCUGCUUGAAGCUCAGACACUAACCAGCAAUGACCAUUGUUAAAAGUAAUCUUUAUUUCUUACUCAUGCCAUUGGAACUUUCCUUUCCUUGGCCUUUAAUUUGUGGUUUCUAACAUCUUGGCCAACUUGCGGCUUAGGUGUUCUUACUUGUUAGAACCAUUUGAAAAUUGAUGAUAAAAAGACCUGCAUAAUUAUGAUGAUGUUAAAAUGGUUGCGAUUCGCAAAUUUAAGCAUUAUCAAUGUAUGUGAAGUAUCUGCGGUUCAAUUUUUGAUCAAGCACUUGCACCCAAGUUUUUUCACUUCUGUGGUAAGUGAUUCAUUUCUCCUUUUCAUAGAAAUGUUGUGUUCUGAUUUUCUUGUUUCAAUUGGCUGCAUGUAAGUUAGUUUGUCUUCCACGAAGAGUAUGAUCUCUUCUUCUUUUUUUCUCCUUUUUCAAGGCAAAAAGAGGCAUAUGUCUAUUAAACUAAUCAAGUUAUUUUCUCGAUUUAUUUUCUUUCUCAUUUAUUCUAAGUGUCCACAUAAUAGGACUAGCGGUGGCACAGUUUAUUUGAUUUUUCACAUUGGAAUUGCAUUACUUCUCCUGUGUGACCCUAGUAUUUAUACCUUUUUAUAGGCAUCAUAGUGUUCAAGCUUCCUUUUUUUUCUUGCAAUUUGUUAUUAAUCUUAUCUCACAUAAUUAUACUGUGGUAUGCUGAAGGCGAAACAGGAAAUUUCUAGACAGGGCACAAUCUCAAAAUUCACCUUUCAAAAGCAUAUUUAGCAUCGACUUACACUCCUUGGUAGGGGCUAGAGUGAUUUGUUGCAGGUUGGGAUAAAUUGAUAGUCACUCAACCUAAAGCUUAUUUGUAAAACUGAAAUAAGUAUACCAAGCUUGACGAUUGGAUCUGCAGCAUCGAAAAGACUGAACUGGUUGAUAUGUUAAUAUUUUGUUUCUUGCUUAAAAAGCGAGGAGUCAGGAGAUUGAGCAAACAUACUGUUGCCUUCAUAAGAUGUAACUUAGAAACACAAAGCAUUAGACUGAGAUAAGCUUACCGGUAACACCUUCUUUUUCUUUCUUUCUUUCUUUUUCUUCUUUUUCAAGAAGGAGAAGAUAAGUAUAUGGUGAGGAAAAUCCACUUAUAUCAGGACAAGGCAACAGGGUAUUAUGAAUCAGUGAUGAAAUCAAUGCCUCCUGCUGCCAAUUUGUUGAAGGAAGAUUUGAGUGUAGAAGAGGUGUUGAAUAUCUUUUCCUUUUCUUCUCCUUACUUUAAUGAUAUUCUCAUUUUAUUACACCUUUUGUACCUUGUUUUUCCUUUACCAACUGCCAAAAUGAGUUGCUUCACUUGGUGAGCUAUGUAAAACUAGUACCCUCAGAGUCAAAGCUAUGUGAGCUCCUAAUUUCAAUCGUGACUGCAUUCUAUUUAAAGUGUACCAGACUAAAUAUGUAUGAUCAUAAUCUAAUCAUUUCUAAGUGAGCGAUCUUUCAGGUGAUCUUGCACCAUCUUCAGCCCAAAGCUGAUUAUUACGAACAUAUUCUGGUGGCUGUUGAGCCCUUUUGGAAUUUCUAUCCAUGAUUAGCAGUUGCAUUAUCACUCAACAGUUUUCUGUUCCAUUCUGUCCUCUACAUGACAUCUUUUUUAUGGAAUGGAGGCCACAAUUGAGUAUCACUUGUAGCCUCGUCAUGCAGAUGGAGGGAUAACAAUUCCAACUGAGAAAGGGAUCAAGCCCGCUGAACCAGAUGGAUGUAUCAAAAUUUUAUCAGCAUUGCUCGAAUUCAAUUGGUACUGAGGUGAGUGCAGCAAUGAAAGAAUUCUGUAUCAGUGGGAAAUAUGCUGAAAGCAAUUAAUGAUUCGUCUCUUUCAUUAGUUUCUAUAGUUAAAGCUCCAAACGUUUUGCAGGAUUCUCGCCUAUUGCCUGUUGCAUUGAAAUAUGUAAAUGCAUAUCUAGGGUAUAUUCAAAUAGAAUACAGAAGGCGAUUAAGAAUUUGGUUCAGUUUGCACUAUAAGGAAUUGAAAAUUUGCUAAUAUUCAAUAGACUCAAGAAUUGCUUCAAAAUUAUCACAGGGCUCAAAUUCCUUCAAAAGAAACUAUCAAGAUAGAUUUGCUGGUAGCAUACAACUCAAUUUUUAAAGAUAUCAAGGUACAACUCACUGCUAAGAAGGUAUUUGACUUCUUUUCAAAAUUCAAAUAAUUGAAGAACUCUAGGUUUGCAGAUGACCUCUUACUCUUUUGUGAUGAGAAUUUAACUCACUCAGGAUUUUGCUAUUCAAAUCAGAAGCUUUGUGGGUUUGUUGGAUUGUCAGAAUAUGGUUAAAGGAUCAAUAUAUUUAGAGUGUUAAAACUAUUUUAUGCCAGUCUACAUGUGUCUUGCUAGUGUUGCUUUGUCAGGUAAACAGUUGGAGUCAUAUGGUCUAAUUAUAAAUAAAUAUUGCCUCUGUUUUGCGUAUGUAUUUUUCACUUGCAACAGAUGGCUAAUCUGACAAACAUUCAAGAAUGCUGGAAUAGGGGUUUGACUGUUCUACAAUAAGGUCCUACCUAGCAUUGGAAACAAAAAUGAGCUGAUAAGUCACAUUCGCAGAUGACAGCUCCUGCAUGUUCUGAAGACAACAAGAAGAAUGUAGUAACACGAAGACAUGAACACAUUGAGGAGUAGGAUGUGAACAGUUCCAACCAUUCCGAGAUAUAGACAGUCCUUGUUGGUAUGCACAAAUCACACCUCAAGCUUCAUUAAAGUUCCAUUUCCACUGGUUCUAUGCAGGUGAAACAGGAGCGGAAAAGGAAGAAGUUCGACAGCAGAUUAAAGAUUAUUAAACAGGCCAGAACUGAUUCCUCAUCAGCUCUCAGAUCUAUACACACAUACCUCGGAUUAUACAAAACACGAAUCUACCCCCAUUACCCCACUGUUGUCAGCCUACCUAUACUCGUCAAGGACGGGCCUAUUUCAUCCUUGCAUCUCCCGUUGGGUCUAUCAUUUUUUGGCCGCCCAACUCCUCUACCUCUGUACUUACGAAUGCCCACACAUUUUUUACAGACAAAUUUUGCAGGCACCUCCUCAAAAUCAUCAACCCCUGCACACCUCGUGUGCUGCCACACUCCACAGGCGUCGCAGGCCAUCAUCCUCUCUCCAUCAUCGUCUUUGGCACCGCAGACACAGUCGACGAUCCAGUUAUCGACUCCCCGUUCCUUCCUGAACAGUCCCAGACUUUGGUCGAUCCCAAGGAACCUUCCUCUCAACCGAGCUACCCCGUAGGAGCCGAACAAGGACUUGACGGGAGUCACGUCACUGGCUUCUUCAUGGUCGAGUAGCUGCUCAGCUUGAAACCUCUGGAAUACCAAGUAGGUCUCUUGGAAUGUUGUCGUCACCUGCAGCUUGAGAUCGGCGAUGGUGGCACCUGCUGAUAGAAUCAGGAGUUCCGGUGGGGGAGCCGUGUAGUCCUCUGGAUGGUCGACCAACUUGACGUGGCACCAAAGAGCCGUCGCAGAUGAUGGAUUUGGAGGUGACAGAUUCCCUCAAGGCACUUGGCUUGUAGGGUUGCAUGGAGGCCGGGUUGAGCAGGGCAUCGUAAAGGAAUUUAAGGUCAUGGAUGAGAUGGUCAGCGGAUGGUCUCGGCAAACACUGGGCGGAAGAUUGCUGGUUAUCAGCUGCUUCAAGACUAAAAUUUAAAAUAUGAAUUGUAGCGGGCAGUGACUACCAUUCCAUCGCCCACGGUCUUACCGACCACUCCCCUGAGGCAGCAGUCGAGCAGCUCCCGCGGCUCGAUGGCGUAGCAUGCGGCCCCUCGAAGAGCGCGCCAGGUCACCCACCGGGACCCACCAACAGCUCGUAGAACCUUGACAAUGAGCUCCUCCGCCGGUUGUAAGCCAUCCCUUGUCAAUGCACACAGCACUCCAGCCACUGGUUUCUUCCCUGCAGGACUUUCAGGCUUUGCCCGCUCCGGGGCUUCGUGGAGUUGAUGCAACACACAGCGGAAAAGGUCUCUGACAGUCACCGGUUGCUGGUCCGAGAGCGACCUGUACAAGUCGAUCAUGUUCUGGAGGGGAGUCCGAGGGUAGCCGCCGCGGGAGAAAAAGAUGGAGAGCGGCACCUUGGACAUGGUGUCCACGGCCUUGUGGUAGGACUCGGCGGUGAGGGCAAAGCUACCAGCUCCAAACUUGUACCCCCAAUUCCCGUACCAGGGAUGGCCUGCAAUGACGGCAUGGAGGAGGCGGUAGUCCAUUCCGUGUUUCUUGGAUAUGUCCAUGACGCUGACCUUCCUGUCAUAAACAGAAACAUCCACCUGGUCCAACCAUGCCUGAAACAACUCGACGAACCUGACGCGGAGCAUCUGACACAGCCGGUCCCAAAAGCUCAUAAUAUCACAUCCUGUCAAGUAUUUAGAACCACCCUCUCUGCCGUUUACUCGUAGAAGAUGGCCGAAUCCGUUGGCAUGCACAAUUCCAUGCAGCAAAUUAGUAGAAUCCUCCAACUGCAGGUAUGCCCGAUCCUCAAAAGUGUCAUCCGUCGUCAUCUCACAAUUGCAUGAGUAACACCUGCAAAACAAAAGCGUCCCGAUCAUGUUAGUCAUAGGUACAUAAUAAAAGCUUUGCAUUUUUCAGUACAUAGAAAGUCUACCAUUAGUAUAGUAUUCAUCAGAGGAAAGAUGCCAGAUAUAAUUCUCAUGAUACAUAGCCACAAUAAAUACCAGAGCCAAUCCAAACUGGAAUGUACUUGCUUCCUAAAUCCAAAAUUAAUCAUAUUUCUCAUGCUGUAA